AUUUCUCAGAAAUUUGACAACAAAACAAAACAAAGCGAGAUAUGUUGAGCCAACAAAGAAGACGCAGUUGGAAAAUGGAGUAAUUAGUAAUGAAGUAGCAGGCAUAUUUUGAAAAUUAUGCCGAUAAGCAGGAUGGAAUUUGGAAAAGUAAGUGCCUGGUUACAGCAUAUCUAUGUAUUAAAAAGUAUUUAAUUAAAUUGUU